rnacentral:RNase_P_RNA from 1 species
CGAGGAGGAAAAGAUGAUCGCGGUCCGGCGCCGGCGACGGUGAUCGGGUCGAGGAAAGUCCGGGCUCCACAGGGCAGGGUGCUGGCGAAGGCCAGUCGGGGUGACUCGAAGGAAAGUGCCACAGAAAUACAACCGCCCGCGUUCGCGCAGGUAAGGGUGAAAAGGUGCGGUAAAAGCGCACCGGGACUCUGGCGACAGAGGCCGCAUGGUAAACCCCACCUGGUGCAAGGCCGAGCAGGGACCGGCGGCGCCCCUUCGGGGGUGGUCGCAGGGGUGGCCCGCCCCGUCCCGGGUAGCGCCGCGUAGAAGAAUGAUCAUCACCCGAGGGAGGCAACGAACUCGGGGACAGAACCCGGCUUACGACCUCUCUCGGCCG